rnacentral:misc_RNA from 1 species
AACAAGGCGUACCUGCGGACCUGCGGAAGGAUCAUUACAGAGUUCAUGCCCUCACGGGUAGAUCUCCCACCCUUGAAUACUAUACCUUUGUUGCUUUGGCGGGCCGCUUUGGCUACUGGCUCUGGCUAGUAAGUGCCCGCCAAAGAACCCCAAAACUCUGAAUAUUAGUGUCGUCUGAGUACUAUAUAAUAGUUAAAACUUUUAACAAUGGAUCU